AGUAACGGCCGUUUAUACCAGGAGGGAAGGUUCCGGGGGUCCCGCCACGCGCUGUGACGUGGCGAACUUGUACCUGGGAGAGAAGAGGGAACAAGGGAAUUCAGUCCUCGACUCGGUGACCGCCACGUUGCCGCAGGGAUCAGAGGCACCCACCCCGCGACUGAGUCAUUGUUUGAGGGUUUUCUAGUCAAGAAGCCACCUGCCCGGGAUGGGCUGGGCUGGAUUGCCGUGGGAUCAGCGUUUCUUCAGCGCCCUUGCCUGGUCACCCUCAUAAUGUUAGGGCUAGACCUCCAGUGUGACUUCCAGCAGCCCGCGCCUCCCACGUCUAGCUUUUCAGCCUGCUAACGCUUUUCCUUAUUCAGAUGUUCCUCCCUCGAAGAACCUAAGCAACUAAUCUUGCGCUCCUACGUUCGAGAAGGCAUUAAUGGAUUUGCCGUGGUCACCUUGUGUAGCUCCAGUGUACUGUGGGUUAUUUUAAGAGGUUUCUCCGGAGAGCUGUCACAGUGAUCUUUUUCCCUUUGUGUCUGCUGGGCUAGCCCAACUCACCUGUAAAACUGGGAGGCUAACAGGUGGUGAACAAAUGCUCUAGGACCAGAACUUACAUUAUAGUGGGGAUAAACCGACGAUACGAACUAGAAUUAACAAGAUAAUGAUCACCAAGGCCAGCAGCGAGGAUUAUACAAUUUUAAAGCUCUCAAGGAAUUCGAAUUGAACUUACGACCUUUCACCUGCCAGAAAGGUGCUGUGCUUCUGAGCUAAAUCCCCAGCCCAACACUCCAUUGCUGUAGCACCGUUCUACACAUGUUGACCUGAGGUCACUAGUUAGUGAAUGACAAUUCUUCUCCCUACAGUAUCCACCUACCUUCAAGUAAUCUUGGGCCAGAGGGGAGGAUGAUGAGACUCUCAAGGAGGCCUUAGGUAUUCUUUGGCCUGAAGACAAAUGGAAUACCUGAAGACUCCCUGCAAGGCUUGAUGAGUUAACUAGGUUAAAUAUCAGAAACAAUUUAUGUUCCUAUGGAAUGGCCUACAGUAUACUUUCUCUAUGAUUCCACAGAGAUAUCUCUGUUCUCCUGCAAUAUGCCCCAGUGGCUAAGGCUAAAUCUGCUACACACCCAGAAACUCUCCUUCCUCAUCCACUACAAUGAAGAUAUCCUAUGCUGGCCUACUUACGACACAAAUUGACCAGACCCUAGCUGGGGGAUGAAACCCAAGGUCUCAAGCAUGCGGUCUGGAGCAUACUAGCCAUGCUCAAAUUAUUUUUUGGAGACUCUCUUUGAUUAAGACUCUAAGCUACAUAAGUUCAUGAACCAUGUGUGCCUCCUUUGCUAUCUACGUCGUGCUCAGCACGAAGUUAAGAAUAUGAAGGCAGCGCUCAACAACUAAAGUUUAUGUGUUGAUGGCAUCCGGAUGCAGGGCAAGUAGCAGUUAUGCACAGAUCAUCUUAUUGAAGGAUAAGUGCCCUUCAACCAAGUAAGAAAUCAGAAAUAACUGCACUUUGAGAACUCCUUUUCUGAUUGGCUCGAGUGUAAAAAUGAACAUGUGACAUAAAAUUAAUUUAUAAAUCAGCUUUUAUUUACAGAUUUAUCUUUCUUAAAGUACAUUUUAGUUAACAAAUCUAUUUACACAGGUAUACAUGGGAAUUUAUCCCAGUUAUUGUACAGAUCAUACUUACAAACCACACCCUAAGUCUUCUGUGCAGAGUUGCACUGGAUGUGACUAUUGGCUGAAAAUGGCCUGGUGACCAGGCUAUUUACACAUACACAGUAAACGGGUUUAUUUUUCAUGUCUGCACAAUACAGUACACACAAGGAGGCUAAGCCUCCCAGAGAAUGCUUUGCAACGUGUUUACCAAGAAGGCUUUGCAAAGUCCAGAAGGAAAAGCUAUUAAACAAGGUUAAUUAAAAUGACAGUACCUCCUUUACAUCAGUUUACAUUUUUCUUCACAUUUUUAUAAUACAAAGAUAUUUUAUUGAAUUGCUGCACAACCAGGUUAAGAUGAUUUGUAAACAUGUAAAUUCCUACAAUUUGCAUUAAACAUCAUUGUAGUUUCUAUCA